UCACAAUGGGGGAAACCCUGAUGGUGCGACGCCGCGUGGGGGAAUGAAGGUCUUCGGAUUGUAAACCCCUGUCAUGUGGGAGCAAAUUAAAAAGAUAGUACCACAAGAGGAAGAGACGGCUAACUCUGUGCCAGCAGCCGCGGUAAUACAGAGGUCUCAAGCGUUGUUCGGAAUCACUGGGCGUAAAGCGUGCGCAGGCGGUUUCGUAAGUCGUGUGUGAAAGGCGGGGGCUCAACCCCCGGACUGCACAUGAUACUGCGAGACUAGAGUAAUGGAGGGGGAACCGGAAUUCACGGUGUAGCA
rnacentral:rRNA from 1 species